GAGAACCACCAUUGGGAAGUGUUCAGUAAAAGUUGCUGGUCACAAACACAGAAGCAGUGGGUCCAGGAAAGCACUGGAUUAAGGCAGUACAGACUUCUUUGGGGGUGAGAGGAAGAUAUAUAAGAACAUGGAUAGGAAGAUAAAAGGACACAUUCAACAUAUAAAACAGAAGCUCACUAGCUCACUUGUAUGAAGAUUCUGCAUAUCCAGAGCAGAUAUUUUUGCCUUAUUCUGGAAAAAGCCAACAAACUACUACCUUCUUUGAGGCAGACAGCCAGAACUGGACCAUUCGAAUAGUGAAAAGAUGAUAGUGUCUUUACCCUAAACCCCCUCUCUACCUCAA